rnacentral:rRNA from 1 species
UGGGGAAUAUUGCACAAUGGGCGAAAGCCUGAUGCAGCGACGCCGCGUGAGGGAUGACGGCCUUCGGGUUGUAAACCUCUUUCAGCAGGGACGAAGCGCAAGUGACGGUACCUGCAGAAGAAGCACCGGCUAACUACGUGCCAGCAGCCGCGGUAAUACGUAGGGUGCAAGCGUUGUCCGGAAUUACUGGGCGUAAAGAGUUCGUAGGCGGUUUGUCGCGUCGUUUGUGAAAACCAGCAGCUCAACUGCUGGCUUGCAGGCGAUACGGGCAGACUUGAGUACUGCAGGGGAGACUGGAAUUCCUGGUGUAGCGGCGAAAUGCGCAGAUAUCAGGAGGAACACCGGUGGCGAAGGCGGGUCUCUGGGCAGUAACUGACGCUGAGGAACUAAAGCGUGGGUAGCGAACAGG